GAUGAACGCUGGCGGCGUGCCUAAUACAUGCAAGUCGAGCGAACAGACGAGGAGCUUGCUCCUCUGACGUUAGCGGCGGACGGGUGAGUAACACGUGGAUAACCUACCUAUAAGACUGGGAUAACUUCGGGAAACCGGAGCUAAUACCGGAUAAUAUAUUGAACCGCAUGGUUCAAUAGUGAAAGACGGUUUUGCUGUCACUUAUAGAUGGAUCCGCGCCGCAUUAGCUAGUUGGUAAGGUAACGGCUUACCAAGGCAACGAUGCGUAGCCGACCUGAGAGGGUGAUCCCACACUGGAACUGAGACACGGUCCAGACUCCUACGGGAGGCAGCAGUAGGGAAUCUUCCGCAAUGGGCGAAAGCCUGACGGAGCAACGCCGCGUGAGUGAUGAAGGUCUUCGGAUCGUAAAACUCUGUUAUUAGGGAAGAACAAAUGUGUAAGUAACUAUGCACGUCUUGACGGUACCUAAUCAGAAAGCCACGGCUAACUACGUG
rnacentral:rRNA from 1 species